AAAAUUUACAACUAAAGUUUUAUCUUGGCUUAGAAAUUAAGUUUUAAUUUAUUUAUAUAUAUAAAUUUUUGUUAAUAAAUUUUAUGGAUUUAGUAUAUAGUUUUAUUUAAGAAGUAAUUUUUUGAUUAGGUAUAAUAUUUAAUACUAACAAAAUUUGUGCCAGCAGUUGCGGUUAAACAAAUAGUGUAAUUUAAUUUUAUUAAAUUGAAAUUAAAAUUUUUAAAUAAAAAUUUGUAAAAUUUAUUAGGUGAAAUUAAAAAUUUUUAUAAGUAUUUAUUUAUUGAUUUUGAGGUUUUGAAAUUUUUAUAUAAACUAGGAUUAGAUACCCUAUUAUUUUAAAUGUAAAUUUAAAUUUUAUUAUUAAAAGCUAAAUCUUUAAAGUAAAAAAAUUGGCGGUAUUUUAGUCUUUUCAGAGGAACCUGUUUUUUAAACGAUAAUCCACGAUUUUUUGUACUUGAAUUUUUAAUUUGUAUAUCGUCGUGUUAUAAGAUUUUUAUAGAAGAAAAAUUUUAUUAUUUUUAAUUAAAAUUUAUAUCAGAUCAAGGUGCAGUUUAUAUUUAAGUUUUAAUGGGUUACAAUAAAUUUAUUUAGACGGACAUAUUAAUUAAUAUUAAUUUUUAAGGUGGAUUUGAAAGUAAUAAUAUUUAUUUAAUAUUAUGAUUUAGCUCUAAAAUAUGCACAUAUUGCCCGUCACUUUCAAUGAUAUGAAAUAAGUCGUAACAAAGUAGUCUUACUGGAAAGUGUGUCUAGCUAGA
rnacentral:ncRNA from 1 species